rnacentral:rRNA from 1 species
UACGUAGGGUGCGAGCGUUGUCCGGAAUUAUUGGGCGUAAAGAGCUCGUAGGCGGCUUGUCACGUCGGAUGUGAAAGCCCGGGGCUUAACUCCGGGUCUGCAUUCGAUACGGGCUAGCUAGAGUGUGGUAGGGGAGAUCGGAAUUCCUGGUGUAGCGGUGAAAUGCGCAGAUAUCAGGAGGAACACCGAUGGCGAAGGCGGAUCUCUGGGCCAUUACUGACGCUGAGGAGCGAAAGCGUGGGGAGCAAACAGG